rnacentral:rRNA from 1 species
CAAUAGCGUAUAUUAGAGUUGUUGCAGUUAAAAAGCUCGUAGUUGGAUUUGUGGCGUACGGUGGGUUCCGGGCACUUGUUGUCUGAGUAACUUGCUGUUGCCAUCCUUGGGUGGAACCUGUGUGGCAUUAGGUUGUCGUGCAGGGGAUGCCCAUCAUUUACUGUGAAAAAAUUAGAGUGUUCAAAGCAGGCUUAUGCCGUUGAAUAUAUUAGCAUGGAAUAAUGAGAUAGGACUUUUUUGCUAUUUUGUUGGUUUGCGCAAAGAGGUAAUGAUUAAUAGGGACAGUUGGGGGUAUUCGUAUUCCAUUGUCAGAGGUGAAAUUCUUGGAUUUUUGGAAGACGAACUACUGCGAAAGCAUUUACCAAGGAUGUUUUCAUUAA